rnacentral:rRNA from 1 species
CGCUGGCGGCGUGCCUAACACAUGCAAGUCGAGCGGAGAAUGCAGAAAUGUUUACAUGGAUGUAUUCUUAGCGGCGGACGGGUGAGUAACACGUGGGUAACCUGCCUCAAAGAGGGGGAUAGCCUUCCGAAAAGGAAGAUUAAUACCGCAUAAGCUUACAGCAUUCGCAUGAUGCCGUAAGAAAAGGAGCAAUCCGCUUUGAGAUGGACCCGCGGCGCAUUAGCUAGUUGGUGAGGUAACGGCUCACCCAAGGCCACGAUGCGUAGCCGACCUGAGAGGGUGAUCGGCCACAUUGGAACUGAGACACGGUCCAGACUCCUACGGGAGGCAGCAGUGGGGAAUAUUGCACAAUGGGCGAAAGCCUGAUGCAGCAACGCCGCGUGAGUGAUGAAGGCUUUCGAGUCGUAAAGCUCUUUGAUCAGGGAUGAUAAUGACAGUACCUGAAAAACAAGCCACGGCUAACUACGUGCCAGCAGCCGCGGUAAUACGUAGGUGGCGAGCGUUGUCCGGAAUUACUGGGCGUAAAGAGCUCGUAGGUGGUUUGUCGCGUCGUCUGUGAAAUUCCGGGGCUUAACUCCGGGCGUGCAGGCGAUACGGGGCAUAACUUGAGUGCUGUAGGGGAGACUGGAAUUCCUGGUGUAGCGGUGAAAUGCGCAGAUAUCAGGAGGAACACCGAUGGCGAAGGCAGGUCUUGGGCAGUAACUGACGCUGAGGAGCGAAAGCAUGGGGAGCAAACAGGAUUAGAUACCCUGGUAGUCCAUGCCGUAAACAGUGGGCGGUAGGUGUAGGGGUCUUCCACGACUUCUGUGCCGUAGCUAACGCAUUAAGCGCCCCGCCUGGGGAGUACGGCCGCAAGGCUAAAACUCAAAGGAAUUGACCGGGGGCCCGCACAAGCGGCGGAGCAUGUGGAUUAAUUCGAUGCAACGCGAAGAACCUUACCUGGGCUUGACAUCCUUCAGACCACUCCUUAACCGGAGUCUUCCCUUCGGGGACUGAAGUGACAGGUGGUGCAUGGUUGUCGUCAGCUCGUGUCGUGAGAUGUUGGGUUAAGUCCCGCAACGAGCGCAACCCUUGUCUUUAGUUGCCAGCAAGUAAAGUUGGGCACUCUAGAGAGACUGCCGGGGAUAACUCGGAGGAAGGUGGGGAUGACGUCAAAUCAUCAUGCCCCUUAUGUUCAGGGCUACACACGUGCUACAAUGGCCGAUACAAAGGGCUGCGAAGGAGUAAUCUGGAGCCAAUCCCAUAAAGUCGGUCCCAGUUCGGAUUGUGGGCUGAAACUCGCCCACAUGAAGUUGGAGUUGCUAGUAAUCGCGAAUCAGAAUGUCGCGGUGAAUGCGUUCCCGGGUCUUGUACACACCGCCCGUCACACCACGGGAGUCGGAAGCGCCCGAAGCCAAGCUAUCUGAACCUUUU